AUUACCUAUCCAAGUCUCGGUCGAGAAGGAUUUCUGAAUCCUUAUUGGUCGAGGUCAUCUCAUCAGCCUUCUCGGCAAAGUGAGGUGUUACAGUUAUUACAUUCGGCACAUUGAGAGCCGAAUUUGAUAUUGAACUUCGUAAGAAUAGUAACCUUGUCUUCAGGUUCGAGAGCCCAAGAGGCCGAGACGUGUUCCUUUCUCGGCCACAAUCGUAAGACGUAGAAGUCAGCCGCGCACCCAACGCAACAUCAACAAAAUUUACUCCUCGGCCGAGCUCGGCCGACGAGUUGGCACGCCCCGCAUUCACCGAAGGACGUAGUUAGCUUAUAGAUUACUCGGCAUGCGCGCCACGUAGGCUUGGUAGUUUCUAGGGUCAACAUUUUGGCACGCCCGGUGGGACCUAGUGCUAAAACUACGAGGUUCACAUGAUCUAUCUCGAUCAGGCUUCAUGGGAAGAGUGUCAUCUCCUAUUAAAGAAGCAAAAACAACUCCUUGAGAGUUUGGGAAGAAUUUCUGAAAGGCAAGAGGCCGGGGGGCAAAUUUCCGCUUCGGCCACAACCAAUAUUCGACCUAAGAAAAUUGGUAAUUUGGCCGAAAGACAAAGGCCACCUAUUUUUUCGGUCGAGAUUGAAAGUGUGGUAGGCUUAGAAGAAAAAGUUCAAGUUCUUGAGCCAAAUACAAAAAUUGACUCAGAAAAUGAUUCGCCAGAGGAAUGUUCCAAUGACGAACAGGGCCGAGACAUAGGCCUAGCUGAGAAAACCACACCAAUUGAUUUGAUUAUUAGUGAUAAAGCCGGUAUGGAGAAAUCCCGUUCGGCUAAGUUGCUCGAGUUAAAAGCCGAAAUUGGUGAAAUAAUUAUGCCUGGGGGGCAUAAUAAUUGUUCAACACAUUCGACGGUCGAAAAUGAAAAAUAUUUCGCCAAGUCAAAAAUAUUUGGAGAAAAUUCUUUAUUCGGCCUAGGGCGAAAUCAAUUUGAAAUUUUUGAUAUAAAACGAUCUCGACUUGGAAUAAAACAUCGUUGGCCUCCUCCUCUCUAUUAGUUCGGCCACCUUCGUUUUAUUUUAUUAAGGAAAGGAAUAAAUUAUUUUCUUAAUCAUCUGGUUAAUUAAGCCGAUGCUUAAGAAAAUAGGGAGCAACCAAACAUUGAGCCCUCGUCCUCGUAAUAGCAAAAAAAAAAAAAAAAAGUUUCGGCCGAAUGAAUGAAAGUUUGGCCGAAUACAAUGCAUUUGGCUGAAUAUAAUAGGUUAUAUAUAUAUAUAUAUGUAUGUAUAUAUGUGCCAACUGCAUCACCCAAUUCUCCUCAGCCUCGACCUCAACCCACUUUACAAAAUAAUAUAUAUAUAUAUAUAUAUAUUUGCUUCCAAAGUCACUUUCAAUCAUGUGAGGUGUUGUCAGAAUCCAUUGGAAAGUUGAAGUUUUAGGGCCGAGCUUGGCCAACACAUCACGGUAUAUAUAUAUAUAUAUAGAGGCAGGCCAAGCUAUCAAAAAAUUUUCUCGGCCUCCUUUCCCCCCAACUUUUCUCGACCUACAUCACACAUGCCGAGCUCAGCGAGCUGAUACUCGGCACAUGCUCAUUUUAUAUAUAUGUGUGUGCUCGGCAUAGGAUCGUCGAGGUCUUUUUCAAGACGUGUCAGGCUAUGGAGUGGAUUCCUCGACCAUAUAUUUCUUCGACUGAGCUAAUUUCCUUAACCAUUCGGCUUACGGGCCGAAGCUCAAAGAAACUGGGGGGGAAUGUUUGGACCCAAAUUUACACCAUCGGCCCGUGUAAUCAAGGCCGUUGAAUGAGCAAAGUUUCACACCAUCAGAUGAAAAGUAGAGAUAAUUCAUUUUAUUAUUAUUAAAGGAUAAUGUUAUGGUGUUUUAUCAUAAUUAUCUUUUAAUAGUAAUUUAUUAUGAAAGAUAAGAGAUAUAUUUCCAACUGGAAACAUGGCAGCAUAAGUCAAUCUGACUUGGGUGUUCUGGCGCGCGAAUGUGUGGUGUGUGGUGCAAAUUGAUUAUUGUUUAUUUAAAAUAUGGUGGGGAUCAGGUUGCAUAGAUUAUGAAGAAGCCUAAAUAGGAUAGGAUUAUAUUGGAUUUUGGUGGUGAUGUGAUAGGCCUAGGUUGAGAUGAUGACACAACAAACCUAGCUAGACUAGGCUUUUUGUGUGAUUGAAGUGAAGGUUUCUGCUGGAGGUUUUACUAAAAUCAGAAGCCUAGGUAGAUUAGAUGUGAUAAAGCCUGGAUGGGCUUUAUUUUGGAGGUCGCAGAAUUUUAAAAGCUACGGAUCAAAUUUUAUUUAGUGAGUUAGAGUUGCAGUCAAACUCUAUCUAGCUGUGCCAAGCAAGUACAUCAGCCACUAUAAAUACAGAGUCACGAACAACGGAAAAUGACUUCCAAUUCAACACACAAUUGCCCUGCGCAAACUCUCUUAACAACUGAGAUUUUUAUUUUCUCUUUUCGCUGACACUUCUUCCGUUGGCAUCAACAGCACUGUGAAAGCAACCGGUGAUAUCUUAAGUCGGCAUAGAUAGCUCUGUCACUGUAGAAUUAGCCGGUCUCGCAGCAUCUUCCGUUGGCAUCAACAGCACUGCGGCGAGGACGGUUGAUUACCUAUCCAAGUCUCGGUCGAGAAGGAUUUCUGAAUCCUUAUUGGUCGAGGUCAUCUCAUCAGCCUUCUCGGCAAAGUGAGGUGUUACAGUUAUUACAUUCGGCACAUUGAGAGCUGAAUUUGAUAUUGAACUUCGUAAGAAUAGUAACCUUGUCUUCAGGUUCGAGAGCCCAAGAGGCCGAGACGUGUUCCUUUCUCGGCCACAAUCGCAAGACGCAGAAGUCAGCCGCGCACCCAAC
rnacentral:lncRNA from 1 species